rnacentral:rRNA from 1 species
ACGCUCGACACCUACGGGAGGCAGCAGUGGGGAAUAUUGCACAAUGGAGGAAACUCUGAUGCAGCGAUGCCGCGUGAGGGAAGAAGGUUUUCGGAUUGUAAACCUCUGUCUUUGGGGACGAUAAUGACGGUACCCAAGGAGGAAGCUCCGGCUAACUACGUGCCUGCAGCCGCGGUAAUCUGAGCGGGCUGGCAAGGC